rnacentral:lncRNA from 1 species
AUGCACUGGGCUAAACGGCUCAAAGGACCAGAGGAAGAAAAGAGGCAGGCGGCGGGACUGAGUGCCCCGGGUCUAGCUGCACCAUGGACAGAGACUCUGCAAAAGACAAACCCAGCCCACACCCCUCUAGAGGGCGGCUGCAGCUAUAGCCAGCAACACCCCUGCCCCAGAGAAAUGGAGAAGGGGCGGGAGGAUGCCCGGACUACUCAGUACCGGGGCUCCCCAGCCCCCUCCGAGUCUGGUAUUCCCGGAGGAGACAGCUCCUCUCUGCCCCAAUCCUUAAAGACCAUUAAGAGUCUCCUGGCUUGGCUGCUAGAGGAUCCAGCGCCGGAGAGUCGGAGUACAAGCCUCCUGGGAGGCGGCAGAUGCACGCUAUCUAUUCCCAGGAUGGGAUUAGAGGGAAAGAUGGACAAGAGAAAUUGCCCGAAGAACCAGAACAAGACAAACAAAUACAAAUGAAGCAAAGUAGAAGAGGGCUAGAAAGCAGAAAAUGGGCCGCCAGCAGCGCUAGCAGCGGCAGCAGGGUCCGCGGCGCUCCUGCUAUCCGGCACAUGGAGGCGAAGAGGGGCCGAGGAGGAGCCGGAGGCGGCGGCAGCAGGAGCGGCAGCGGUAGCGGCGGCAGCAGCAGCAGCAGCGGAGAGAGAGACGACUCCAGGCAGUUUUCCACACACACAUACACACACACACACGCAAC